GACCCCAGAUCAGGUAGGGAUACCCGCUGAACUUAA
rnacentral:rRNA from 1 species